GAACGCCGUAUGCGAUGAAAGUCGCACGUACGGUGUGGAGCGGGGGAAAACCUAGAGAAAAUACUUAUUUUCAAUUGCAAAGGAAAUAAGAUUUAAAGGGUUACCUAUCGCUAU
rnacentral:ncRNA from 2 species